rnacentral:rRNA from 1 species
CCAGCACCUGCGGUAAUUCCAGCUCCAAUAGCGUAUAUUAAAGUUGCUGCAGUUAAAAAGCUCGUAGUUGGAUCUUGGGAGCGGGCGGGCGGUCCGCCGCGAGGCGAGCCACCGCCCGUCCCCGCCCCUUGCCUCUCGGCGCCCCCUCGAUGCUCUUAGCUGAGUGUCCCGCGGGGCCCGAAGCGUUUACUUUGAAAAAAUUAGAGUGUUCAAAGCAGGCCCGAGCCGCCUGGAUACCGCAGCUAGGAAUAAUGGAAUAGGACCGCGGUUCUAUUUUGUUGGUUUUCGGAACUGAGGCCAUGAUUAAGAGGGACGGCCGGGGGCAUUCGUAUUGCGCCGCUAGAGGUGAA